CCAAGACAUUCUCCAGUGCUGAUCUGUUCUACUUCUCAACCCAAAUGACGCAUAGGUACCCAGGGUUUAACAAGCAUUAAAAUUAAGGUGCAAAAUGAAAAGGGCAUGUUCUAAUUACUUUUUCAACCAAACUUGGAACUAAAGGAUCUCAGUUUCCUCAGACCUGUGGCCUAAAACAUUUGCUAUGGCACGUGUGACAGUCAUUCGUGUCCUGCUGAUAUUAAGCCUUUUCCAACAUAAGGCACUGUUUUCCACAAUCCUGGCAAGUGGAAAAGAACACAUAAAGGAUGCACUUAGGCUGCAUAAUGCUCUGUGGACCACCAAGGAUGAUUCAAGAGUUAUUUUGUCCUGGAACAAUAACCUGACAAAAGAAGAAACCAAGAAAUACACUGUGAAGUAUAUUUUGAUUUAUAAGUUCUUCAAUACCACUAAGGAAAGGAAAGAAAGACUGCAGGAGAAGGAAAAGAUAAUACAUCUUCAAUUACACUCUGGUUUUAAUGCUAAAGUUAAGACACAACUUUUUGCAAAAGAAACAGAAGACAUAAUUAAGGAGAGUGACUGGACAGAAUUUACUUACAA
rnacentral:lncRNA from 1 species